AACAAACGCUGGCGGCGUGCCUAACACAUGCAAGACGUACGAGAAAGGGUCCUUCGGGGCCUGAGUAAAGUGGCGCACGGGUGAGUAACGCGUGGAUAAUCUGCCCUUCAGUUGGGAAUAACUCAUCGAAAGGUGGGCUAAUACCGAAUAAUGCUGUGAGACCUCGGUUGAUCAGCCAAAGAGAGCCUCUGCUUGCAAGCCCCCGCUGAAGGAUGAGUCCGCGUACCAUUAGCUAGUCGGUAGGGUAAUGGCCUACCAAGGCGACGAUGGUUAGCUGGGCUGAGAGGAUGAUCAGCCACACUGGAACUGAGACACGGUCCAGACUCCUACGGGAGGUAGCAGUGAGGAAUCUUGCGCAAUGGGGGCAACCCUGACGCAGCAACGCCGCGUGAGUGAGGAAGGUCUUCGGAUCGUAAAGCUCUGUCGGAUGGAAAGAACCGCAUAGGGGUAAACAGCCCCUGUGUCUGACGGUACCAUCAAAGGAAGCACCGGCUAACUCCGUGCCAGCCGCCGCCGUAACAC
rnacentral:rRNA from 1 species